UAAAUAUUUUGGUGAAUAAAUGAGGCAGUGUGGCAGGUAUGCAAUGAGGCAGGAGCCUUGUGUGCCGAGGACCUCCAAAUUAAUCUCAUGGUUGCAUGUGCUCCUGCCUAGGCCUGUGGGACUUGCAACCGGUAUGUCCACAUGCGGGCUAGACAUUUCCACCUGAUGGUCCACAUGUACUCCCCAGUCAACAUUCCAAUCUUUAAUUCAUCAGCCUAUCUCUCAAAUCUCUUUUUCCUUCUCAGUUAUCACUUGAAUAACGGCAUUGUCACGUGUGUCAUCACCCAGAUGAGACAUUUGGCCUUCAUUUUCCCCUUUCUCUUCAACUCCAGCACCCAGUCCUGUCAGUGUGUCUUCCUGAAUACUACUCGGAUCUGUCCUCUCCUCUCCACCUCCAUUGCCAUGACUUUGGUUCAGGUCCCCAUCAUCUCUGAUGUAGACUAGUGCCAAUGCUUUCUGGUGGUCUCUCUGCUUCCUCGGCCUUAUACCCUCAAGAGCACCUCCCUCUCCACCAAAAGUCAAACACUAUUCUCUCUCCUUCUAUCUAGAAGUCAGAAAGGACUGGCAAGGCACAGAAGUAGCUGGAACCUUACUGAGUAAGAGAUAUUCAAAGAUUGCAGACAUAUGAUUUCUUCAAGAUUAAUUUCCUUUUUGUUUUUCUGCUACAGAUCCAAUGGAAUAAGCUAUUAAAAUGCUUUGAGUUUCUGAACGAAAGCACAGAACUGUGCCAGCAGAACAACAUAAAGAUUUCCUUUCUUUCUUUUCCUCCAGCAUCUAUCCAUGAUGGAUGACAUGACCAUGAAUCUUUGCUUAAAUAUGGACUCUUGAAAUAUCAUAAAAUCCCAGAGCAUCAGAGCUGGACAAGGGCCAUCUGGAUCUUUUGUCUGAGGCUCAGAGAAGACAAGGACCUUAUUUAAGGUCACACAGUGAGUUAGCUGCAGAAUUAGGACUCAGAUUCUGUUCUGUAUUCCUCAGGUCAUUGACUCAAAGGCUGAAUUCCAUUCCUUUACAUGGCACUGGAUGCCCCACACGAUGGAGGACCUUCUUGGCAGAGCACAAUGAUUUUAUCCUUGCCCUUCUGGCAAAUGGACUUGAAUUGCUCCUGCUUCUGGCAGCUGG